UCGCUGCCCUGAAAAAAGUAAUCUGAGAUAAUUUAUAUUUAAUCAGGAUGGAGGCGGAUCGCUGUCCUGAAAAGCUUGAGCAUAUAGCACUCAGGAUGUGACUUUAUACAAUAUGAAAACUGAAAAUUCUUCAGGAUUCAAAAUAUUCAAGGAUAAUGAUUUUUAAGUUUAUAUGUUGUAGAAAAAAAAAUUAAAGUUGGGAGGAAUGUUAUAUCCAAUACAUGGCUGCCGAUUAAUCGCGUCUAGACCGGGGCUACCACCUGGUGGAUGAUGUGGUAAUGGGAACGAGUGUGAAAGAAGCACAUGGCGAGUGAGACCCACGGGACCAGGUCAUAACAGAUGAUAUGUAUUGGACCCAAGGUGGAGCAGUGGUCAUUACCCACCGUCACCCAUCACCAUGCCAAAAACACCUCCUUGCAGCUCCAGUCUCCAUACAACAUGGUUUCUUCUAGGUGAACUGACUUUACCUGGCUGGACAUGGGGGACGUGUAUUUUGUAAGAAGCAGACAUAAAAAGGCAGCAACAGGAACAUCUUCAUCUCACCCAGUUGUGCAAGACACGGGAUGUGACAAGUUUUAGGAUGAAUGAACAGCCAGAGACAGGACAGCCAUUGUAAACAGCAAAUACAUUUCUGGAAUUGUGUAAAGAGCUGCUGGCAGACCAAGAGGUCAGUUUUAUACUGAGUGAGAGAAAGUGCUGCCAGAACCACCCAGAACAAGACUUCCAAACACAGCAGAUCCUGUGGAGCCAGUUAUAUGGAACAAUACAAUUACACAACAAAUGUGGGUUUCAGGUAACUCAAAGAAUCAAUUUUCCCCAUAUGCAUGGAAACUAUAGAGGCCGGGUAUAUAAAGCAAGGAGAUUGUGUUGGACAAUACUCUAUCACUGAAGACGAAUAAACAAUGAAAUGUUUAAAAGUGAAUUGAUAUUUCAGCUCAGUUGUGAUGUGUUAUAAUAAUUUUCCCCAUAUGCAUGGAAACUGUUACAGUACUAGUAGAGGUAGUAUAUACAGUGAGAUAGUAGUAGAUAAUAAGUCAUCACUGAAGAGAACAAGACUUCUGUGAAAAUGUUUUAAUGCAAAUACAUAUAUUUCAGGUCAUAUAUGAUGUGUUAUAGAUGAUCUCUGUUAUUGUGAGGUCAUUAAGUUGAAAUUGCAAGUUUUAUCACAUAUUUAUUAUAUACAGACACAUUCAGUCUGUCUAUAUUCUGAUCACUGUGUCUGUCCAGUGUCAUUACCAUAGUCAACACUUUGUGACACAUCUGUUGUUUACCCUAUAACUGAUGAUAAACUGUAUUUUUGUUUUAAAUUCCUCUAGAAAAUCAGCAUGAGUGGAUUAUUUUAUGAUAUUGUUUUGUUAUCGUUAGCAGUUUGGAUAUGAUGCCACAGUAUGUUCUGAGUAUGUCAAAUUCAAGUAAUUUCUGAUUCUGAUAUUUGAUGAUGCAAAUGCCCAGCUGUGUCAAAGAUUUGCUAGUCAAAAGGUUUACUAAUCUGAGAGUAUGAAAUGUGUAUGGUGUAAUAUAGCAAUGAUAAUAUCUGUGGAGGGUGUUUAUGUUUUACUAACUGUUCAUGACUCCAUAAUGUCCAAGUUUUUGACAGGUGCUACUUUAUCUGUGAUUUUCAUUGUUUCUUGAACACAAAUAUUUGGUUUUAUGAUCUUGUUGCCUGCUGCUGUAAAGAUUAAGACUGAUGUCAACACGCUUGAGUUUUAUUCAGAAAGCUAAAAACAGUAAUUCCUUUCAGUGAAGUAUUUUAUUUGUAUGAGUUACAUGACAUACUUAAUGAAAGCUAAAAGUGACUUUUAUGUGAUUACCAUAAAUACAAUUUGGCAUAAAUAAAUAUUCUGUGAUUUUUUAUGUACAGACACAAC